UACAGAGGUCCCGAGCGUUGUUCGGAUUCAUUGGGCGUAAAGGGUGCGUAGGCGGCGGGGAAAGUCUGAUGUGAAAUCCUGGGGCUCAACCCUGGAACUGCAUUGGAUACUUCCUUGCUAGAGUACUGGAGAGGAAACUGGAAUUUACGGUGUAGCAGUGAAAUGCGUAGAGAUCGUAAGGAAGACCAGUGGCGAAGGCGGGUCUCUGGACAGUUCCUGACGCUGAGGCACGAAGGUCAGGGGAGCAAACGGG
rnacentral:rRNA from 1 species